rnacentral:rRNA from 1 species
GAUGGUUCGAUUAGUCUUUCGCCCCUAUACCCAAGUCUGACGAUCGAUUUGCACGUCAGAACCGCUUCGGACUUCCACCAGAGUUUCCUCUGGCUUCGUCCUGCUCAGGCAUAGUUCACCAUCUUUCGGGUCCCAACGUGUACGCUCUGUCUCCCCUCCCAGGACAUGCCCGAGGAGGGGGACCGCGGUGCUCGACCCUCUAGGAGACGAUCCCGCGCAUUACUUUUCAUUACGCCUU